CGACAACACCGGAGCUCCCGGUAGAUACUGCUUGUGAGCAGCACACUGGCGCACUAGGCUGUAACUCAGGAAAAGACUGGGCCUCUUUCGGACUGAAACUGGGGGCUCCAUACAUCUACCCACAAAGAGACAGCUCCUCCACUUAGAGUCUCAACUCCCACCGAUUCCCACCCAUCUUCCCACCAGCAGACACUCGUCUCCUCUUCUCUCCUACAUCCUCUAGUGGGACACAGAGGGAAUUAAAGGUGUCCUCUCCCACCUGGAAAAAAAAGGUCUGCGUUUUCUUUGGAGAUGGAAAAGGAAACAAAUGACUCAUUGACAUUGCUGCUGACUCACACAUAGCUCAAGAUGUCUUAAGUCCCUAGCACUGAUGAUAUUCAUGCAGCACACACAAAUCAGGGCGCCGGCAUCUCAGAAUAUCAAUGGCUUAAUGAGGCGAGGGCUCUUUCUGAUGUGCCGCAACAUUGACUCUUUGAGGGGAACACGGCGAGUGAAGCGACUCUGUGAAGAGAUAACAACGACCCCCGAUGGACUGUUGGCCAUCUCGGAGCAUGCUCAGUAGUGCCUGACAUAAUGGCUGCCUGUAAUGAUAUAAGACAUGUCUGUGUAUGAGGAUCCUUACGCCUUUUGUCAACGCUGUAUCAUAACAUUUGAAAGGCUACUGAGGGGUUUUGCUUUAGGGUUAUUCUUGUUCAAGAUCUAAUAAAUUGAACUGAUUUUCAGUCUU